rnacentral:rRNA from 1 species
UGGCGGACGGGUGAGUAACGCGUGGGUAACCUGCCUCACACAGGGGGAUAACAGUUGGAAACGACCGCUAAUACCGCAUAAGCCGGAAGGAUCGCAUGAUUCGGCCGGAAAAGAUUUAUCGGUGUGAGAUGGACCCGCGUCUGAUUAGCCAGUUGGCAGGGUAACGGCCUACCAAAGCGACGAUCAGUAGCCGGCCUGAGAGGGUGAACGGCCACAUUGGGACUGAGACACGGCCCAAACUCCUACGGGAGGCAGCAG